GCGGCUGCUUUAAUCAUCAUAGGGAUGAGACGUUAUUAUCUUUCUACACCAUAAUGCAGAUAUGCAAAGGAUUGGACAUUAAGAAGAACCUCAUCAUAAAUGUGAGUUGUUAAGGAUGCAUGAUGAACCAAUAAAAAAGACUUUGUGUGGAUGCUUUGUGGAGUUAACUCUGUCUGCUUUAUGUCAUCCAGACAGUAAUAAGCAGAACAGGCAACUUCUUUAAAU